UCGAGUUACCGCUCUACAACCCUUUGUGAACAUACCUAACUGUUGCUUCGAGCGGCGGCAGGGGUGAUCCCCCGGGGACGCCCUCCCGGCCCCGCCCCCCUACCAGGGGACGUGGCUCCCGCCGGAGGAUACCCAACUCUAUUUUAACGACGUUUCUUCUGAGUGGCACAAGCAAAUAAUUA
rnacentral:misc_RNA from 1 species